CACCCGAUUCGAACGUUAUCACUCGAUUGAAUGGGGCGUUAUCAGCGGUUAUCAGCCCAUAGAAAUGGGCCAGGAGGGGCCUCCUGCGCCUACUAGUAGGCUCAGAAGGCCGUGAUCAUCCAUCCAAAUGGUUGAUCACCCACAAAUAUACAAGAGAAGACUCCAGAUCCAAUCCCAGAAUUCCUGCUCACCUGUAAUCGGAAGUCUACUGGACGAAAGCGGCAACGUUGCGAUAUUUCCUGCUUAAUAUUUUCAGAUAUGGGAAAAGCUCUUAAGAUGACCACACGUUUCAGGAACGUUAAAAUUAAGUUGGUGAGGAGGUCUAUUGCGGGCCCUGCAAGUUUUCUUACCUCAGUCAAGGUCUUCCCCAGCCCAGCUACAAACAGACCCACCCUUCAGACCCUUCUAUUACAUCUCAACCUGCUGAACCUGAUGAUGUGACACAGAGCUGUUCUGAGAGUGCAUACAGUAAGGCAAAGAAGAGAGAGCUUCAUGCCUGGGAUGCAGUCAAGGAUGAGAUGCUUAAGGUGUCGUUUGAAUGUCAUCUGAAUCCACUGACGGCUCUGCACCGUUACAGUCACCAUGUGUGCGUGUGAACCAGAAACCUGUACUCUGCUGAGAUAUGGGCUCUGACCAGCAACAGCCACAAGCCCCAGACAGACAGCCUUCUCCAUCCCUCUGCUAGAGCUUUCUGUUUCUCUGUCACUGGAGUGUCAGGCGGAUGGAGAUAUGAUUGUCACAUUGGAUGCCAACUUUGGCCUUGUGAGGAAGCAAAGCUCCAGUACAAGUGCGGUUGAUCCAUUACACGGAACCCGCAUGUUUAGAGGAAUACCUGCUAUCACAUCUUGACAGCUCAAAGCCUCAAGAGGACUGCAGUAAGCUGCUCUCAUUCAAGGUCUCCAACAGCUGGAAAGAAAAUGACAUCAAGCCACUGUGAUGUUUCACCCACAUGUACAAGACAUUAUAGACAUAUAAUAUAAUAUAAUUAUAAUAUAUAAAUAAUUUAAUUACUUUACUGCAUUACUUGUGCAGACAUGUUGUUUUACCAGGUCUGAUCUAUUUUAAAAGCUUAGGCACUGUAUUUAAGCAUACAUAUCCCCACUAGUCUGUCUGUGUGAGUACAACAUUAAAAAAUAAACUGUCUAUAAUUGUUACUCUACAAGCACAGUAAAAUAUUUAUAUAAAAUAUAUUGCACUACUGUUAUUUUGCAUAGAAUACAUUGUUCAACAAUAUUUUUGCACACUCAUCCAACUGUAUUUACUACCACUGUUCUCACGUUCCUGCUUCGUUCCUGUUCAUAAUAUAUAUAUAAUCCUUCAUUGCUCUGUUCAUAAUGUACAUACAAUCCCUACAUUGCAUUCAUAUUUAGAUUCUGUAUAUACUCUGCUCAAUACUGUAUAUAGCAACUCCACUGUACAUUCUGUAUAUCAUAGCUUCACUUACUCUGCACUUUUAUGUAUA